GUCCCAGUUCGGAUUGUAGUCUGCAACCCGACUACAUGAAGCUGGAAUCGCUAGUAAUCGCGAAUCAGAAUGUCGCGGUGAAUACGUUCCCGGGUCUUGUACACACCGCCCGUCACACCAUGGGAGUCGGAAAUGCCCGAAGUCAGUGACCUAACCGAAAGGGAGGAGCUGCCGAAGGUGGAGCCGGUAACUGGGGUGAAGUCGUAACAAGGUACC
rnacentral:rRNA from 1 species